rnacentral:lncRNA from 1 species
AAAUAUGACAGCUGAAGGAGGUAUCAGGUGUCCGACACUAACAUGUGACAGACAAGUGUUUGACACGUUUUUGCAGUGAUAAUUUUUUUUCCUGCUUUGAUUCGGUGACAGCAGGUACAUUUAGCUUGGCAUACACUGGACACAUUUUUUUUUGUUUUAUCAAAAAAUUAAAAAAAUCAACCUAAAGAUUAAAUUAUAACAACAAUCAAGUUUUCUUUUUAAAAGUUAACCUACUUUGGUAAACCUAAUUUGGACACACAUCUUUUGAUUUUCUCCUGUUCAUGCUUGUCCCUUUUGCAAGUUCCCGCACUUGUCCGUUCACGUUCUCCAAUACGUUGACAUCACUGGUUCUCAUCCAUUUGUCGGCAUCUCCGGUUCGCGUUCGUUUGUCUUGCUUCUCUGGUUUGCACUCCUUUUGUCUUGUGUCUCUAGUUCGCAGUUUUCUCAAUGCUUUGUUUUUUUGUUUCUUUUUUGUUUUUGUUUUUGAUUUCUAUUAUUUUCUGAAUUCGCAUAUCUCUGUUUACUUUGUUUUUUUCUUUGGUUGUUUUUAAUUUUCUAGAAUUCAUUAAUUCUAUGAGGCCUUAGGUUUUAUUAUCCUUAAAUUCAUUAUGCAUUUGAGGAGAAUAUGUUUGUUAAAAUAUCACUGGAGGAACUUGGGAGUUGAGACUAAGUGGUUUCUAUAACAGUGAAAAUGAAAAUUACAAGUUUCUCUACUAUUCUUUAUUCUAUAUUUUGUAUCAUGUUUCUUUAUUUAUGUUUUUUAGAUAUUGGCUAUAGUUUUCCAGUUUUGUAAUUUUCUGAUAUUAACAAAUUUUUUUAUAGUAUUAAAUUAAGUUCUAAAAGACAUUCAUAUGAAAUUAUUAUAGAGAUAAGUACUUCUGAUCAAGCUAAAGAACAAGUUGAUGGCACCAUAACUCUAUGGAAUUAUGUAACAAAAUUAAGACGGAUUGCAGUUAAAAUUUUGAAAUCAAAUGCAAUAUAUGUGAAGUAAAUUUUAUUAUGUCUUACACUAGAGUAAAGACACACUUGUUAAAAACGAUAAGAAGUGGAAUUAGAGUUUGUCAAAAGAUAGCUCCUUCAAGACAUGCAUAGUUUAUAAAGAUGGACAAUGAGGCUACAUUGAGAGUAGAGAAGUCAAAGACAAAGUCUGUCCCUUUACCUUUAGUGUUUAAUGAAUGUCAAGAGACAAACAUUGAUGUUGAUCCAAUACUUCAAAAGAUGCUACUUAGGCAACCAUGUCAAUUUUCAUGUUGUGAAAGAAAUUGGAGCACAUACUCUUUCAUUCAUUCUAUAUAAAAAGAAAUAAGAUGACACCUCAUAGGUCAUAGGACAGAGGACCUAACAUUUGUUACUUCAUAGAAAUCUCUGUCUCCUUUCAAGAAAUUCCCCACAAUGCCAUUAAGAGGAAACUAAAUUGUGGGCCAUUGCAAGAGAUGAAUUUGGGUCACUUGAUGAAAUGAAAUUCUUGAAGUUGUUCAUUUAUCUCUUGAUGAACUAAGAACUUAGCAAGUUUUUUUUUUUUUUUUUAGUGAGAGACUCUUUAUUAAAGAACUUAGCAAGUUGUUUUUUUAGAUUCUUUGCAUUGUUGAAUAUAAUGCCUCUUAGUACCUUAUUUUUGUAAGGCUUAUUAUCAUAUGAAAAUUAUAAAGCUUAACAACUUGUUUUAAGAGAAAUCUAAAAAUUUAAGAAAAUAACUUGCUAGGUCUUUAAUAAAAAAUCACAAAAAAAAAAUAAAUACUAAGAGGUUAUCAAUAAAAGAAAAAAUCCAAAAAAAAUAACUUGCUAAUAUUAAUCUAAGUCCUUCCACUUCCUUCUUGGUCAUCUUCAUUGAAAAACACAACUUCUAAUUCUGGUUCAUCAAGAGAUAAAUUAGCAACUUCAACAAUUCCAUUCUCAUCACGUGAUCCAAAUUCAUCUUUUGUAAUGUCCUACAUUUUAGUUUUCUUAUCGUGGGGAACUUCUUGAAAGGAGAUGAAGACUGCUAUGAACAAAUACUAGAUCCUCUGCCCUGUGAGGUGUCAUCUUAUUUCUUUUUAUAAAAUGAAUGAAAGAGUAUGUGCUUCAAUUUCUUUCACAACGUAAAGAUGAACAUGGGGCAUGUAUGUUUGUCUCUUGGCUUUCAUUAGACACCGGAGGUAAAGGGACAAAUUCUGUCUAACUUCUCUAUUUUCAACGUAGCCUCAUUGUCCAUGUCUUUGACUUCUCUAUUUUCAAUUUAGCCUUGUGUCCAUCUUUUUAAACUCUACAAGUCUUGAAGGAGUUAUCUUUUGACUAACUCUAACUUCUAUUCCUGUCUUUUUUAACAUGUGUGCCUGUUCCUUUACUCUAGUGUGUAAGACCCAUUAAAAUUUACUUCACACAUAUUAUCUUUGAUUUCAAAAUUUCCACUACCAAGAACUCUUAAUAUUGUAACAUAAUUCCAUAGAGGUUUGUUGUCAUCCUGUUCUUUAGCAUGAGCAGAAGUGUUCAUCUCUGCAAUAAUUUCAUAUAAAUGUAAUUUAGAGUUUACCAAAAUUCUUAUGUGAAAGGGUUUUAUGCCUAGAAUUCUUAAUUUUGUAACAUUAUUCCAAAAGGUUUUUAUGGGAAAUGUUUUCCAAAAUAGAUUAACUUUAAAUAGGAAAUUUGAUUAUUGUUAUAAGUUAAUCUUUAAGCUGAUUUUUUAAAUUUUUGAUAAAAAAAAAAACAAGGGGUGUGUCUGGUGCGUGUCAAGCUAAAUGGGCCAUGUCGAAGCUGGAAAACAAAAUUUGGAC